rnacentral:tRNA from 1 species
UGGCUCAGAGGUUAAAGCAUCUGCCUCUAAUGCAGGAGACCCGGGUUCGAUCCCUGG